AAAAGGAUGAGGUGUGCGGCGUUAAAGGAAGAUGGUUUGCAGGAUGGAGGAAGAAGAGGGGAUUUAAGUAGCAAGAGGUGUGGUAAAGGGUCAAGGCAGGAUGAUUCGGAGAUAAUGGCAGAUAAUGAGAAGACAGUGAGGUUAAAUUUAAUGGAAAAGGAAAGUGAGGAAAGAAAGGAGAGAUCUUUGAGCUUAAUAGAAGAGGAAGACGAAGUGGAGAUGGAGUCACCGAUCGCAAGAGUGAGAGAGAAGAGGAUAAGACGCAAGGUGCUAAAGGCAGAUGGUUUAGAAGAUGGAAAGAG
rnacentral:misc_RNA from 1 species